AUGACAAAAGCAAGGAGGGCCCAUAACUCAAAAACUAGGCAGGGCACCAUAGUAGGGCUGGGAACAGGGAAGCGCAUUGAUUACGCCACACGGAAUACCUAUUGCCGGAAAUGUCAGCAUGGAGAAAGAUGUGGCAGUAUUCGACCACAUGACUGCCGGCUAAACCAUAAAUGCUCGGCGAAAUCAAUGGAGGCCUCGAUCGCCGUCGAAAUUUGCAAGCGAGAUGAUUAUCGAGUAUUGAUCGGUGACGAUGACUCUACGAUCAUUUGCCGUCUUCGGUUAACUCCAAUAUGGAAAAAUGGUCAGACAUUUACCAAGCAACCUGUACAGGCGCUAUACGAAGGUAGGGGUCAGGACCUUGGUCCAGAAGAUAAAUUAACUGAACUGGUCAUAGAGGAUAUCAAAUACUGCUUUGCUUGUGCGGUUCACCAGAACAAGAACGAUGUAAAAAGCCUCAUAGCGGCAAUCGACACUAUCGUGCCACACAGUUUUGGAGAGCACAAGAAGUGCGGGGCAUGGUGCCGAUAUAGUGAAAACCCAGAUGGCUAUCGUCACUCCACCGGGCGGCAAAGACCUGAAAGGAGAAGGACUCAGGCGCUUUCUAGUGGCGAAGAAGCCACUUACGAUAUUGAUGAUUGCAUCAAUAUCGUUAUUGGCACGAAAAAUUCCAAAAAGCGUUUCUAUGGCGGGUCAAAAAGCAGCGACUACAGGAUUGCCAAAGGUGUAGUUCAGUACAACGAACGCCACUCGUACCUACGUACCGUGCAGCCAGAACUGGGAUCGACUCCUACAUCAACAGGAUGCAGCGGAAGAGAAAACAGUCAGAAGAAAGAAAACAACAAAAAGAGAAAAAAAAAGGAGAAAGGAACUUAAACCAGGGGGUCAAACCAGUGAAAAGCCCCCCAAAAAGGCAGACUAUAUCCCAGAAGACCUCAACGUUGUGGUGUUCGACCUGGAGACCACAAGGCUACGAAAGGAUGCAGAUCUGACACAGAUUGCAAGCGUUGGACUCGAAAGCGAAAGCGAGUUCUCAGCCUACAUCCUUCCCACCUGCCCCAUCAAUCCGGCCGCAACGAAAGCGACUGGUCUCUCUAUUGGCUUUACACUCGGGCUGUUUAAGCUACGAAAGUUUCUGCAAUCGCAUUCAGGGUGA